rnacentral:tRNA from 1 species
GGAGAGGUACCGAAGUGGUCAUAACGGGGCCGACUCGAAAUCGGCUGUCCUUGGAGACAGGGACCGGGGGUUCGAAUCCCUCCCUCUCCGCCA